rnacentral:lncRNA from 15 species
CCUCGCCCCCUUCCUCGGUCCUCUCAACCCUUCACGAAGCAACGUCACCUGAAACUGGCUUUGCUCAACACCCGCUCACUUAACAAUAAAAGUCUCAUUCUGAAUGAAUUCAUAACUGACAAUAACCUGGAUUUCCUCUGUAUCACUGAAACCUGGCACAAGCCUCUGGACUACUUUUUGCUCAACCAGACCACACCCACCGGAUACACUUACAUUGACAAACCCCGACCUGAGGGGCGGGGAGGUGGUGUAGCAGCAAUCUACAGGGAGGACAUCAAAACAUCCACCAUCUCCAUCCCUGCUGCUCACUCCUUUGAACACCUCACUUUCAAACUCUCUGGUCCCACUUCUCUGGUCACUGCCAUCAUCUACCGCCCCCCCAAACCAAACCCCUCCUUUCUCUCUGACUUCUCUGACUUUCUAACUCAGUUAUCUGCCAUCUCACCUUCCGUUCUUCUUCUGGGAGAUUUCAACAUCCACAUUGACACUGACUGCAAAUCUGCCUCUGAAUUCCUGGAACUACUACACUGCUUCAACUUCACCCAACAUGUCAACUUUCCCACCCACAGCCGUGGUCACAUCCUGGAUCUGGUCUGCUCCACUGGUCUCACCUUACUUCACCUCUCCAGCUUCAACCUCAACAUCUCCGACCACCUGGCAAUCAUCACGGACAUUGACAUCCCCAUUCCCACCAUUAAGGAUAAACGGACAAUAUCUUUCAGAAACCUCAAAUCCAUCUCCCCUUCAGCUCUUACUACCUCUCUUGCAAGUAAAAUAUCUUCCUCCCCCCCACCGCUGACUGACAACCCCUCUGACCUCACCAAGUUCUACAACGAAACACUCUCCUCCUGUCUCAAUCAGCUGGCCCCCAUCAAAACCAAAACCGUCUCAUUCACCCACUCUGCCCCCUGGUACACUCCUGAACUGCACAAAAUGAAAACACGCAAACGACAACUUGAAAGACUUUACAAGAAAACCGGUUUAACUGUUCAUCUCCAAACUUUUACAGACUACCUCCUGCAGUACAAGGAUGCCCUCAACACCACC